UGUCUGGUUAUAAGCCCAUGACUGGUAAUAAGCUCAUGUCUGGUAAUAAGCCCAUGUCUGGUAAUAAGCCCAUGUCUGGCAAUAAGCCCAUGUCUGGUAAUAAGCCCAUGCCUGGUGAUAAGCCCACCAAUACCUAUUGCAAUUCAUUGAAAAUGCUAACAAAUGCUAUUUUCUUACUUCGUAGUUUUUUUUUGUUUUUUUUUGCUCCCUGGGCUUAUUACAGGAUAGAUACAGUGAUAAACUCAACAUUUGUCACACUUUAUGUGGCAAUUUACCAAGUGUACAAUAUAUAGUAUUGAAUAUAAAAAGUUACAAGAUUAUUUUUACACAAGAUUGAUAAGGUCAUUUCAUAUACUUUUGAUAUACAUGUGUAUGUGAAAACAUUGUGACCGCCUUCAACACUCAAGUCCAGAAUUGAUUUAUUUUUAUAUUUCAUCUGAUGGAUAAUGGAAUAUAGGCCAUUACCAUGGAGACUGAACACGAUACUCCAAUGUAUUAUAGACAUCUGAUGAUUAUUAUGUUUUAGGAGCAUUACUGUUGGCGCCAUUGUCAAUCACUUAAACAUGUGUCAUAAUGUGCAUUGUAUUUGAAAUUGAAAACUAUAUCAUCCCAUUCACAUUUGUUUCUGUGAAAUUCUACUGUUAUCUGGGCAAUUCAGUUCUCAGAUUUUUUUUUAACUCUGGUCUCUUUUUCUCUAUUGAAUCUUUUAGCCAUUGUCAAUGCAAGGUGUUAACUUUGAUUAUGUAUGUGUUACGUGUCCUUAGACUUGCUAUGUGUAGUGAAAAUUGUUUGAAGGCAAAGCCAAAUUUAGAAUGUUUGUAUUUAUUUGGGUUUGUUUCCCCAAUUCAGUCUAUUUCAGCUCCAAGUAUACUGUUUAUCAGAUGGCUGUGAUUUGGGUGGUUCUAGGUCCGAAAGUUGUCCAAUAACUAUGAAUUGAACUUUGUCAAGCUCUCAGUUUUUGACUUGGUUCAGUUCUGACAGGGUUACUAUGAGUACGGCUUGGUUCAGUCAGCGUUUACUAGGAGUGCGGCUUGGUUCAGUUCUGAUAGUCAGGGUUUACUACAAGUGCGGUUUGGUUCAGUAUUGACAGUCAGUGUUACUACGAGUACGGCUUGGUUCAGUUCUGACAGUCAGUGUUACUAUGAGUACGGCUUGGUUCAGUUCUGAUAGUCAGAGUUACUACGAGUACGGCUUGGUUCAGUUCUGAUAGUCAGGGUUACUAUGAGUACGGCUUGGUUCAGUUCUGACAGUCAGAGUUACUACGAGUACGGCUUGGUUCAGUUCUGAUAGUCAGGGUUACUAUGAGUACGGCUUGGUUCAGUUCUGACAGUCAGAGUUACUACGAGUACGGCUUGGUUCAGUUCUGAUAGUCAGGGUUACUAUGAGUACGGCUUGGUUCAGUUCUGACAGUCAGAGUUACUAUGAGUACGGCUUGGUUCAGUUCUGACAGUCAGGUUACUAUGAGUACGACUUGGUUCAGUUCUGACAGUCAGGGUUACUAUGAGUACAGCUUGGUUCAGUUCUGAUAGUCAGGGUUACUAUGAGUACGGCUUGGUUCAGUUCUGAUAGUCAGGGUUACUAUGAGUACGGCUUGGUUCAGUUCUGACAGGGUUACUAUGAGUACGGCUUGGUUCAGUUCUGACAGUCAGUGUUACUAUGAGUGCGGCUUGGUUCAGUUCUGACAGUCAGGGUUACUAUGAGUGCGGCUUGGUUCAGUUCUGACAGUCAGGGUUACUAUGAGUGCGGCAAUUCAAAUUCACCACUGCUAUACCCAUCUUUGCUGACCAAAGAUUUGAUCCCAAACAAGUUUGUUAGGAAACUGGAUUGUAACCUUUGGCCAGGAAAGAUGUAUUAAGGUAUCACGAUGCUCAACACAGUAUCACAUCUUAUACAAAUCUUAAUUGUUUUAUUUAAUCAUCUCUGUAUACCAACUCCAUGCUGGCUCCCUGGAGGACUUGAUGGAAUAAGGGGUCCUGGUGAGUAGGGUGGAUGGGGCAGAUUUAGGUGUGACUAUGGUGUGCCUACUAAUGUAAUAUAACACAGGAAAACCUGUCAUUCCAGUUAUACUAGUGAGAGAGUUGUGUCCCUUGUAUUCAGUUUCACCAAUGCAUUUUGAACAAUACAAUUUCUGAAAGAUUA